UACGUAGGUGGCAAGCGUUGUUCGGAAUUAUUGGGCGUAAAGGGCGCGCAGGCGGCCAAGUCAGUCGAAUGUGAAAGCCCCCGGCUUAACUGGGGAGGGUCAUUCGAUACUGCUCGGCUCGAAGACAGGAGAGGGAAGUGGAAUUCCCGGUGUAGUGGUGAAAUGCGUAGAUAUCGGGAGGAACACCAGUGGCGAAGGCGACUUUCUGGCCUGUUAUUGACGCUGAGGCGCGAAAGCUAGGGGAGCAAACGGG
rnacentral:rRNA from 1 species